rnacentral:rRNA from 1 species
UACGUAGGGCGCAAGCGUUGUCCGGAAUUAUUGGGCGUAAAGGGCUCGUAGGCGGUCUGUCACGUCGGGAGUGAAAACCCAGGGCUCAACCCUGGGCCUGCUUCCGAUACGGGCAGACUAGAGGUAUGCAGGGGAGAAUGGAAUUCCUGGUGUAGCGGUGAAAUGCGCAGAUAUCAGGAGGAACACCGGUGGCGAAGGCGGUUCUCUGGGCUAUUACCUGACGCUGAGGAGCGAAAGUGUGGGGAGCGAACAGG